UACGAAGGGUGCAAGCGUUAAUCGGAAUUACUGGGCGUAAAGGGUGCGUAGGCGGUUCGUUAAGUCUGUCGUGAAAUCCCCGGGCUCAACCUGGGAAUGGCGAUGGAUACUGGCGAGCUAGAGUGUGUCAGAGGAUGGUGGAAUUCCCGGUGUAGCGGUGAAAUGCGUAGAGAUCGGGAGGAACAUCAGUGGCGAAGGCGGCCAACUGGACCAUCACUGACGCUGAGGUGCGAAAGCGUGGGGAGCAAACAGG
rnacentral:rRNA from 1 species